ACUACAACGGGUGGAGCCUGCGGUUUAAUUGGACUCAACGCCGGAAAACUCACCGGGGCGACAGCAAUAUGUAGGUCAAGCUAAAGACCUUACCAGAAUCGCUGAGAGGAGGUGCAUGGCCGUCGUCAGUUCGUACUGUGAAGCAUCCUGUUAAGUCAGGCAACGAGCGAGACCCGUGCCCACUGUUGCCAGCAUGUCCUUCGGGAUGAUGGGUACUCUGUGGGGACCGCCGAUGCUAAAUCGGAGGAAGGUGCGGGCUACGGUAGGUCAGUAUGCCCCGAAUCUCCCGGGCUACACGCGGGCUACAAUGACUGGGACAAUGGGCUCCUACCCCGAAAGGGGAUGGUAAUCUCAUAAACCCAGCCUUAGUUCGGAUCGAGGGCUGUAACCCGCCCUCGUGAAGCUGGAAUCCGUAGUAAUCGCGUUUCAACAUAGCGCGGUGAAUACGUCCCUGCUCCUU
rnacentral:rRNA from 1 species